rnacentral:rRNA from 1 species
GACGAACGCUGGCGGCGUGCUUAACACAUGCAAGUCGAACGAAGUGGCGGACGGGUGAGUAACGCGUAAUUAACCUGCCCUUCAGAGGGGGACAACAGUUGGAAACGACUGUUAAUCCCGCAUACUGAUGGAGGGGUUUGCGUCUGAUUAGCUAGUUGGGGGGGUAACGGCCCACCAAGGCGAUGAUCCGUAGGCGGGUUGGAGUGAUGGACGGCCAACAUGGGAAUGGGAAAACGGCCCGGACCCUAACGGAGGGAGGAGGGGGGAAACUUCCCAAAUGGACGAAAAGCCGACGGAGGACAGCCGCGUGGGUGAUGGCGGGCUUCGGGGUGGAAAGCUCUGUUAAUCGGGACGCGGUACCGGAAUAGAAAGCCACGGCUAACUACGUGCCAGCAGCCGCGGUAAUUC